AGAAGUUUUCUGUCCUCCUUGCUCUGAAAAAUCCUUCUGAUCUCUGGGGCAGUGUAGAGGGCUGCCCAGGGAACACCAGGCAUCCUGGGCGGAGGCCAUUCUGAGGACAGGAUACCAGCGCAGGAACUGGGAACCGGAGCUGAGGCUGCCAGGAAGUCGGUCCCCUUCCCUCCCAGCUCAUUCUGUGUGCAGCUCACCGCUUCCUCAUACCUUCCUUCCUUCCUCCCUCUCCUAAACUAGCUCCAGGUGGAGCCCUGACAAAGGUAGAACCAACUGACAAAGAUGAUGCUGAGAAACAGAAAGAGGCAGGAGGCGAAGAUAAGAAUGCUGUAGGGGAGGGCGCAGAACCACCAGGCUAACCUGUAGAGAUCAAGAUUUGGCUAAUGUGGCUGAAGUUACAGAGGCCGGAAAAGAACACGCUCAGAGGACAACACGCGGGAGUCGCGUGUUUCAUGUUCGUGCUCAUGUUUCGUGUUCGUGGCUGAGACUGUGCCGGAGACAGUCAGUAUUGGGAUGAUCUCUCUCAUCCCCAAUCUCUUCCCUGUCCAUCCCUCACACUACUACCUGAAACUCUCGACUAUGGCAACUCAAGAACAAAGACGUCCCAUGCACUCAAAUGUCUUUCAAGGUUUGCUGCAAUAAAAUGCUUCCUAUGUUUGCA